GCGCCCGUAGCUCAGUUGGAUAGAGCGUCGGGCUUCGAACCCGCAGGCCGCAGGUUCAAGUCCUGCCGGGCGCACCA
rnacentral:tRNA from 3 species